rnacentral:rRNA from 1 species
UACAGAGGGUGCAAACGUUGCUCGGAAUCAUUGGGCGUAAAGCGCACGUAGGCGGCCUAGCAAGUAGGGAGUGAAAGCCCUCGGCUUAACCGAGGAAGUGCUUUCUAAACUACUAGGCUUGAAUACUGGAGAGGGUCGCGGAAUUCCCGGUGUAGAGGUGAAAUUCGUAGAUAUCGGGAGGAACACCAGUGGCGAAGGCGGCGACCUGGCUCGGUACUGACGCUCAGGCGCGAAAGCGUGGGGAGCAAACAGG